UGGGGAAUAUUGGACAAUGGGCGCAAGCCUGAUCCAGCCAUGCCGCGUGUGUGAAGAAGGCCUUUCGGUUGUAAAGCACUUUAAGCGAGGAGGAGGCUACUUGGAUUAAUACUCUAAGAUAGUGGACGUUACUCGCAGAAUAAGCACCGGCUAACUCUGUGCCAGCAGCCGCGGUAAUACAGAGGGUGCGAGCGUUAAUCGGAUUUACUGGGCGUAAAGCGUGCGUAGGCGGCUUCUUAAGUCGGAUGUGAAAUCCCUGAGCUUAACUUAGGAAGUGCAUUCGAUACUGGGAAGCUAGAGUAUGGGAGAGGAUGGUAGAAUUCCAGGUGUAGCGGUGAAAUGCGUAGAGAUCUGGAGGAAUACCGAUGGCGAAGGCAGCCAUCUGGCCUAAUACUGACGCUGAGGUACGAAAGCAUGGGGAGCAAACAGG
rnacentral:rRNA from 1 species